UGAAUGUAACAGAGAAAAAGUCUGAUGUUAAAAAUAUCUCAACAGGAAUAAACAAACAGCAUCAGCUGUGUCUCAUUAUACAGUCUGUGAAGGCUGUAGAGGGUAGGCUGGGGAAGAAAAGGGUUGAUCCAGAAGUGAAAUAAACACUGAUUAAUAUUUGGAAUGCAUGAGGGAUUCACAAUCUAAAUAGAAACAAAAGCAUGAUCUCUGUGCUGCUGGAUUUGGGAUCAGCCAGAAACAGGAGUGAGCUGUAACCUCCCACUGCACUGGUGACUCUCAAGAGUAUAAACAAGACCACUCCAAAAGUAGCAGUGAAACUCCUAGAGACCAACAAAGUAUCACAUAGCAAGUUAUUUUCUUACUGCUUUAUGAAGUAGCUUACAAUUGCAUCCAGUUAUUACAAAGAGACAUUGCAGUAGGGGAAAAACAAUUUUUAGAAGUCUAUUGUGGUAGAGCUUUAACUCAUAAAAAUAAAAUCCUGCUACAAUAAAAACAUAAAUGGACAUAAGCUACAAUUAUAAAUUAAGUAAUUUUCUUAAGUAAAUAUUACUUUAUGCUCACAGAUAAUUGUAGAGAUAGAUUCCUUGAGAAUUUAAAGUCCUUGCUCAGGUAUCUAAGCAAGUAUAAAAAUGUGUAAGGAGUUUCUUCCCCAGCCCAUUUUCAACACUUUUCUAAAUUGUAUGUAGGUACUUUAGCUUUCAUGAGACUCUAUAUGUAGUCUGUCAUUUUACUGUGAAAAUCUCAAUUGCUUUCAGAUCUGGAAAAGACAUGUUCUAAACUUAUAGCCUGAGUUCUAAAAAAACAACUAAAAAAAUUCUGUAGAGUUAUAUAUUCAUUCCUUAUAUUUUGCAGAGGAUUGGAUUUCUACUUUAUUAUAGCAAUGACAACUUAUGUAGGUAAGAGCUAUUAGAUAUUGGGUAUUUUAAAGAAAAUUAGGAACUGAUGCAGAAGCAAAAUAAGUAGAGAACAUUAUUAACAUGUGAAAAGAGAAGAAAAGAACAGAGAAAUGGCAGCAAACCCAAUAAACAAACAUAUAAUUUUGGUAAGCCUCAGUGCCACCACAACUACUGAAAUGUAACCAUAUACACUUUUACCUCCACAAACCACAGUAAUUAUAAUGAAUAUAUUUUAAAUGAUUCCAAUUUGGGAGACAGUGAACUACAUCAAAGUUUUUUUUCUGAUAUGUACAUUUGCUAUUUUGAAAUCUCCACCCUAAAUUGUAUAAAUCAAUUCCAUUUCUAGGAAGUAAAAUACUACUGCAAGUACUGUAAUUUCUCAAAAUGGAGCCAAUGCAUGCUGAUACAAAUCACAACUAAUUUAAAAAAAAUUCUAUGUUAAUAUUAGGCAUUUUCAAAUAUAGGAAUAUUUUACCCAAAGCAUACAUUCUAGAAAACAUAAAUCCUAGAUAAAUCAGUUGCAUAUUAGUUUCUUGUGAUGAAUUACCACAAACUUAGUGGUGUUUAUUUUUUCACAGUUCUGGAGGCUAAAGGAUCACUGGACUGAAACCAGGGUCUUGGAAGAGUGCCCCCUCUGGAGGCUCCAGGAAAGAAUCUAUUUUUUACCUCUUCUAGCUUUUGGUGGUUGCUGGCUUUCCUUGGCUUGUAGCCACAAAACUUUAAUCUUCAAGGCCAGAAUCUUCCAAUCUCUGCUCCAUCUUCACAGAGUCUUCCGUGUGUGUCAAAUUUCUUUUGCCUCCUUAUCAUAAAGAUAGGUAUAAUUGCAUCUAGGGUCCAGCCAAAUAAUCCAGGAUAAUCCUCAUAAUUCAAUAUCUUUAACUUAAUCACAUGUGCAAACACUUAUUUUUUCCCCCCAUAUAGUCCUAGGAAUUUGAACAUGAAUACCUGUUAGGGAGCUAUUUUUCAGCCUACCUUAGACCUCAACGGGAGAGACCUAAUGUUAACAGGAAAAGAUGUGUGCAAUAAUAAAUACUUGACAACUACUGUGUGCUAGCACUAUGCCAGGCAGAGAUGAUGUGACUGAAACAAGACAGUUAAUUGUCCCUGUCUCCGUAGAGCUUACCAACCUGGAGGGCCUGAUAGCAUCCAUUUCUCCACCAAGUAGGUGGAAAGAACAUUUUUAGAGACUGGGGAUAGUUGGUAGGAAGUUUGAAAAAUAUAGGGAAGGCUGGAAAUCACUGUUGAAUGAAAGUGAGAGACAAAAACAUGGGACAAAUAGGAUUUCUGAGACCAUCAGAGGGUCCAAAUAUAGUUACCAUUAGUGUUCAUAUAUUUCUAAUUCUUCCCCUUCUGAGCUCAUAGCUGACUUUCAUCUACUAUCUCUGUAUAACUAUUUCCAGCUGAUGAAUUAACAGACAAACUAAGUGUUACCACUGGAGGAAGUUUUAAUUGCCAGUGGAAAAUCCUCCAGAAUUCUUUUCCUCUGUCACAACAAUAAAGACAUAUUCCAAGCAGUGGGUACUUUGUCGUGCUGGAUUUCAUGUUUGACAUGGAGGAGAAUGGCUAGCCUAUCAGCAAUGAACAUGCAGUGUGAACAAGCACUAUGCCUUUGCUUUAAGCUAAUUUGAGAUUAUGUAUUAUUUCAGCCUAACCUAGCUUAUCCUUUCUGAUAUAUCAGAUAUAGUUAGAAACCAGGACAUUUGUAAGAUGAAUUAUUUGGUUUUCUUUGUCAAUUUUCAGAAGGAGGCACAGCCCCUGUUGGAGGAGUUUAUUUAGGGUUGAUAAUGUGUCAGGAGAGGAUUGAGAAGGACAGAAGACAAAGUAUAAUCAGUUACAAAACUCUUAGCUUUAGAAUUUUAUUGUCGUUGAAUCUAAUUCUAUAGUUAAAAGCAAUAAUAAUAACAUCCACCUAAUUUGAUGCAAUAUUGGAGAAUUUAAAACUAUGAAAAAAUACAUUAUCUCCAUGGAUCCUCAUAUUAACUCUUUGAAUUAGAUGACACUUUUUCCCUUUUAUGAGAUGAAGAAACUGUGGUGUGGUGAUGGCGUGUCUGUUUUCCAAAGUCUGGCUCUUUAGUUAGCAGUGCUUGUAUGUAACUCAUUCUUACUGUACUAGGUUCUAGGGAUGGAAUCCUGGUGCUGAGAAGAGUUUAUAGUGAAGGAAUCAGUGCUAGUACCAGAUCUCAUGGUCAUAUGGCAGAAUUGGGACAAAGAUUUUCUGUCUUCUAGAGAAAUCACAGUUCUUUUAAUUUCAGUUUCCAUUUUUAGUCAUUAUGCCAUGUGUCCUCUUAAGUACUAUAAACCCUAAUUCAGAUGGCAGGAGAGGAUGAUGAGGCCGUGAAUAUGGAGACUCAAUCAGUUCCUCUCUCAGCUCAUCACUCUCUUGCUAUUAUCAAGGUUUUAGAGCACUUUCUGAAUUAAACCAAUAGUGCUGUUAGGUUUACAUGUGCUGUGUAGAUUUGGUAUGAAAUAGCGGAAAAAUAUGUAUAUAUAGUUUUUUGUCUCUAGAAAAUCCUAUGCUUCCAGCUUUGUGCUGAAUUCUAAUACUAAAACUUCUUGCAAGUCACUCAGUUCACUGAUGGUAGAAACAAAUAGCUUUCAUAUACCUUUAAAAUCUGAAGUUAAUCAAGGCUGAGUACUAAGUCACUAGGUGGUUGAAUUUCUGUAUCUUCUGUGAAUAUUUCUUUUGUCAUUUCAUUUAGAAACCAAAUAUAAUUUCGUUAUUAGAAUUAUAAAAAUGUAGCUCCUGAAUUCUGUUUCAGUUGCUGACAUGUAUCAUUAUGGAGAGAAGAAUUAUACUUUCUCAGCAAUCUAUACAGAACUAAUGGCCUCACCACUCUCUGGUGGCAGCUUAAUGAAAUGCAAGUGCAAGUAUCAGAAUCUUUGUAGUUGGGUAUGGAAAUAUUAAUGAAGCUUGUGAUCUAAAUUUGGGAGUUGUGGACAUUUGGAUGUUCACAAAGAUCCAUAACAAUUGUUGAGAUCUUUUAGAGAAAGUGCAGUGCUUAAAAGGAGAGGGAAACCUAGGACACAUCUCUGAAAAACU
rnacentral:lncRNA from 1 species